GAUGAACGCUGGCGGCGUGCCUAAUACAUGCAAGUCGAGCGAACAGACGAGGAGCUUGCUCCUCUGACGUUAGCGGCGGACGGGUGAGUAACACGUGGAUAACCUACCUAUAAGACUGGGAUAACUUCGGGAAACCGGAGCUAAUACCGGAUAAUAUAUUGAACCGCAUGGUUCAAUAGUGAAAGACGGUUUUGCGGUCACUUAUAGAUGGAUCCGCGCCGCAUUAGCUAGUUGGUAAGGUAACGGCUUACCAAGGCAACGAUGCGUAGCCGACCUGAGAGGGUGAUCGGCCACACUGGAGCUGAGACACGGUCCAGACUCCUACGGGAGGCAGCAGUAGGGAAUCUUCCGCAAUGGGCGAAAGCCUGACGGAGCAACGCCGCGUGAGUGAUGAAGGUCUUCGGAUCGUAAAACUCUGUUAUUAGGGAAGAACAAAUGUGUAAGUAACUAUGCACGUCUUGACGGUACCUAAUCAGAAAGCCACGGCUAACUACGUG
rnacentral:rRNA from 1 species